CAGUUACCACUACUUACUAUUACUAGUUUACUGCUGCUGCUGCUACAUACAGGACACAGGACACAGGACAGGCUAAAAAAGAGAGAGAGAGAGAGACUGGUAAUUAAGAAGCCUCGGUUAAUUUAAAACUACAGGUCAUUACUAUUGUUUUCUAAAAUUGCAGGGGGGUUGAGAUCAAUCAACGCUUCUUCCAUUCUACCAGACGGUGUAAAAAGUCCAUGACUUCAGAUGGUUCUUGCAAGGAGUAGGAUGCAUUUGUCUCC
rnacentral:lncRNA from 1 species